ensembl:ncRNA C54C6.9 ncRNA
UGAAAACUAAUGCAAAGCCCGCUGCCACAAAAGUUUGAAGCUACAGUAUCCUUUAAAGGCGCACGACCUUUCGUUGUCAACAAAAGUCGUGUCGAGACCGGGCACCGUAUUUAUUGCGCAACACUCGAACAAAUUUUGCGAUUGAGCAA